AAUCGAGGCCAAGUGGAGAGGGUGGGGCUGUGAGGGGGGCCUGGGAGGAUGGGACCAGAGAACAUGAUGCCUGGGCUCUGCCUGCCUGAUAAUUGAACAGUCUCAGACCUCAAGCUCCCUCUCUGGACCCAGUGCUAUUACUUAAACAACAACAACAACAACAACAACAACAACAAAACUUCUCAUUUAUCUUUCCAGGAUCCUAGAAACAAGAAAAUGCAGAAGAAGGUGGGUAAAAUCUAUUUCAGAUGGCCUCUGCCCCUUUCCCUGUCUUCUUUGUCCUCUUGCCAUGCAAGGAGGGGGGAGAAAACUGAGCUGCCUUUUUCCACCUCUUUUUAUUUAUUUUUUGUAUUUAUUAUUUUUUAUUUUCAGCCUGAUCUAUAUCCAGCCUGUUCCUUGAGAAGACAGAGUUCAGGAAACGCUUCCCACAAUACCCUCCAUAAAAGCUUACCAAAACAACUCAUUUAACCAACAAGGCCAGAGCGCAAGCAAUGAAACCAGAGAGAAUAGCAAGUCUGGUUUAACAAUCUUCCCAAAGGAACAAAGAGGAAAGGCAAUUUGUGCAUUGGAAAUUAAAACUGACGAAAAUGAUUCUGUUUUGGAUUAUCCUGGAUUGUAAGAAUUAAGGACGAAAGCACCCACCCACCGAAAUGGCUGGUGUGAAAAAGACUAGCCACACCCCGUGUUGGUGAUGAUGUGUCACAAUUAGACACGUGGGCCUCAUCGGGGGGAGUGUAAAUUGGUCCAACCAUUUUGGAAACCUGUUUGCAUCUACUUAGAGGUACGUAUAUGCCGCCCCGACCCAGAAAACGCACUCACAGGUCUGUACCCAAGGGAAAUCGAUGCCCACACCACGACAAGACAAUGUGCUAGAAUGUUCACUGCAGCUUAGAUCCCAAGAGGCAGAUGCUGGAAACCACACAGGGGUCGGUCAGCAGUGGGACAGGUAAGUGGCAUGGGAUUCAUACGGUGGAAUGCUGCACAACGAUGAAAAAGCACAUAAACUACGCUCCGGUGUGACGGCAUGGAUAAAUCUCACAGAUGGAAUGAGUGAACGAAGCAAGACAAAUACACAGGGCACAUCUCGUAUGGUUCCUUUCGUGUGAAGUUCAAGAACCGUUGGAAUUAAUACUCAGGGACAGAGGUCAGAGCAGCGGUGAUCUGAACGGGGGGGUUGAAUAUGGAUUGUCGGGGACCAUUGGGGAACCUCCUAAGGUGCUGGAAAUGUGCCACGUAAUCUGGGUCAUGUACCCAGAUACAUACCUAUGGACAAACUCAUCAGCUUUUACACUUAUAAUUUGCUCAUUGAGUGUAUGUUAUACCUCAAUUUAAAAAACAAAAACAAAAAACGAAAAAAAACCCUUGUAGAUGAAGGUGACACCCUUCUUUGUCUUUGUUCUUAUCCCAGGGGCUCAUCGAGCAGCGAAAACACUGUUCCCACAGUUGGAUAAUUCAGUUCCCUAGAAGAUGAUGACGGACAGCUCACCGUGUGAGAUAAAAACCAUGGCGAAGCAGGCUGCCCCCGCCACCAGGUUUGACAGGGCCAACGGGCGGAUGAGGCCGCAGCGGUCAAUGGUGACGAGGAUGAUGAAGGCCGCCGGGAAUUCAACCAGAGCCGAGUACAAGAAAUCCAGGUAGAGGUUCGCACCCGUGGCGCCCACGUGCAUGAUGAGGCCCUGGUAGAGCACAGAGCUGGUGAACCUGGGCACGGAGGGGAGGCGGAGUGUAAGGCAGAGUGUCUGUGGGACAGUAGGGAGGGAGGAUUCUGGCAGCGAAGACAAAGGUCCCUACGAGCUGGAGAGGAGCGUGGGUCCCUUGAUUUAGAAUGUCCGAGAGCAAUCCGAGAAGAGGGGAUAAUCGUCAGGAAGGACGUCCCAGAGGGGCCCUCAGGGAGCAGCUCCUCUCAGAUUUACGUGAGACAAUGACUUCCAGGACAUAAGCACGUGUCCCAGAGACCCUGACUGUUUCCUGCGACCUAGCGGCCUGGCCCCGCGCGGAGCCCUGCACGGGCCUUACUUCGUCUAAUCCUCCGGCAGCUACAAGGAGGCGGGUGGGAGAAGGUGGGUGAGAAGGUUCAGUAAUCAGGCCUGCUAUAUGAGCCGUGUGACCCGAAGUAACUUAGCUAAGCCCUCUGUGCCUCAAUUCCCUCAUCAGCAAAUGGAAUAAGGUCUUCCGGGAACACUCAGGCAAGUCCCAUCCCGCCCAAACAUGGAGACUCGGGCAAAGCGACCUCUCCCUUGUUCCACCCUGACGAGGGGACAGCCGUUCUGACCACGGACGUACAGGCGUAGAGGCCAGCCUUCGUUUAGGGAGACUGGGUGUACUUCAGUGCCACCCACAGGAAGUACCUGGUGGGCUUCCUGGCACCGAAAGAGCACUCGGCAAAGAUGAGCAGUAAUUGGCAUCGGCGUCUCCCCAAGGUCAAGUACGCAGAGAGAGCAGGGCAGAUACUGGCCAAGUCUCUCCAGCUGCACAGUGGCGUUGUCCCCCUGUCUUCCACCCUGUAGCCCACCCCACGACCCAUCCAUGCGUUGUCCAGGGGAGAAUAGCAGUGUCACAGAACAAGGCACCUAGACCGAUGGGGACCAGCUAAGUGGCUCAGAGAGACUUCAGAGAGUUCCACGUGUCCUUUUAGGUGACAUUGUAUGAUUUCGGAGGCUGGACACAUUUUAUGACACUCUGCAUGCAGAGAACCACUGGGACGCUCUUAUUUCCAGCCCAGCCUCACUCCUGAUUGGAGAAAAGGGUGAAGGCAACGUGAAGGAAGGCGCUCGCCUGUAGCUUGAACCCAUGAACUGCAUGUGCGUGUUAGAAUGGCACGUCCUGGUACUGAGGGGGUCCCGCGUCUACAUCGGACACCGUUCUAAGCUGUUCACACAUGUCAUCUCGUGAAUCUGCCAACGCGCCUGUGAGGUGAGUCCUAUCCUGGCCCCACGUGCUGAUGAGGAGGCUGAGUCACGGAUAGUGAGGCCUUCUGGAGUCACACAGCCGGAGUUUCUGCACUGAAGGAGCAGGUGGAGGGAAGGUGUCCGGGGUCAGUACCUUGGAGGCCACGGGAAGGGAUCUGGUUUUAUCCUCAGUGGACUAGGGAGGCGUGGACAGCGGAGCGACCUGGGCUUUGCCUGCUUUGUGAGCAGCGCCUGGCGGGGGACGGCGGUGGGAGCAGACAGGACAGCUAGGCGGUACCACAACAGCACAGGCAAGAGAUCACGCCCGUCGGGAGGGGAACUGAGAGGGCAGGUGAUGCGAAACGGCAGAUUCUGAACACAUUUUCAAAAUAGAGCAGAAUUUGCUGAGGGCUGGGGUGCAGGGGUGUGAGAGCAGAGGAGCCGAAGCGCCCCCCCCUUACGAGGAGUGCGCUAGGGGAUGGAAAUGGGGGCGGCGAGUGGUAAGGGGAAGAAGGAAGGAGGGAGACAGGAGGGCACAGGCAGCAGGGGUGUUUGCAAAGGCUCCCGGGACCCAUCGUGGGGCUGGCUGCCGAACUCGGGGACCAACACGAGGUGUGGCAGGUGACUGAUGGGGCGAGGGGAAUGAGCCUGGCUGGUGUCUAAUGCAUUUAGGAUGGAUUCCGUGGAACAGUGGUUAUUCAUUCAACCUUCAGCAAAUAUUUGUGGGGUUACCAUGUGCCAGGCACCACCCUAUUAGUUUGAACCCUUAGUUCUAGUAAAACCUUAUGUGGAAGCGGAAAUGAGUUAACCAGCAGCAGGGGAAGCCCACAGUCCAGCUGUUCAGCCCCAGGUGUUAGAGAAGCAUGUCAACGACAAAGGCCCGGUAGUGGGGAGCCGACCCGAUGUCCUUUGAGGGAAGGGGGUAGAGAAUUGCAAGAUGGCAACCUGGAGGGGGGUACAGACCCUGGGGGUGGGCAGGGGCUACAUGGGUGAGUCCAUCGGUGUCCAAGCGUUCCGCAAUCAGUGGAUCAUAAAGACACAGAAACGCUCAGGGCAGGGUCUCUGAAGUUCUAAGGUGUGAGGAAGGGAUCGUCCCCUUUGGAAGCACCAGGAGCCACUGAAAUCACCUUCCAAAGUGAAAUCAAGACUCUUCUGUUCCCAGAAGAUGGACACGUGGGGUUUGAGGCAACCGUGGGAACCCUUCGUCAUGUCUCACUCAUCUUACUGUUAACCUCGCCGACGUAACAUGCUCUUCUUACUAAAAGGAUGUCUUUCCCCAUUAAUCAGUCCUCAAGGGAGGAAAAAAAGACGUCUCGCUAAGAGCUCUUUGCUUGAAAUUCAUCUAAAAAUUCCUUUUCAUGCUUCUCUUUUUCCACCGGCAUUGCUCCACUGUCUUUUUUGUAAUGUUU